rnacentral:rRNA from 1 species
CCUACGGGUGGCAGCAGUGAGGAAUAUUGGUCAAUGGGCUUACGCCUGAACCAGCCAAGUCGCGUGAGGGAAGACUGCCCUAUGGGUUGUAAACCUCUUUUGUCAGGGAGCAAUUGGCGCUACGUGUAGCGGUAUCGAGAGUACCUGAAGAAAAAGCAUCGGCUAACUCCGUGCCAGCAGCCGCGGUAAUACGGAGGAUGCGAGCGUUAUCCGGAUUUACUGGGUGGAAAGGGCGUGUAGCCGGGAAGGCAAGUCAGAUGUGAAAUCCGGAGGCUCAACCUCCGAAUUGCAUUUGAAACUGUUUGUCUUGAGUACUGGAGAGGCAGACGGAAUUCCUUGUGUAGCGGUGAAAUGCGUAGAUAUAAGGAGGAACACCAGUGGCGAAGGCGGUCUGCUGGACAGCAACUGACGGUGAGGCGCGAAAGCGUGGGGAGCAAACAGUAUUAGAUACCCGGGUAGUC